rnacentral:rRNA from 1 species
AGAGUUUGAUCCUGGCUCAGGAUGAACGCUAGCUACAGGCUUAACACAUGCAAGUCGAGGGGCAGCAUCAUCAAAGCUUGCUUUGAUGGAUGGCGACCGGCGCACGGGUGAGUAACACGUAUCCAACCUGCCGACAACACUGGGAUAGCCUUUCGAAAGAAAGAUUAAUACCGGAUGGCAUAGUUUUCCCGCAUGGGAUAAUUAUUAAAGAAUUUCGGUUGUCGAUGGGGAUGCGUUCCAUUAGGCAGUUGGCGGGGUAACGGCCCACCAAACCUACGAUGGAUAGGGGUUCUGAGAGGAAGGUCCCCCACAUUGGAACUGAGACACGGUCCAAACUCCUACGGGAGGCAGCAGUGAGGAAUAUUGGUCAAUGGACGAGAGUCUGAACCAGCCAAGUAGCGUGAAGGAUGACUGCCCUAUGGGUUGUAAACUUCUUUUAUACGGGAAUAAAGUGAGCCACGUGUGGCUUUUUGUAUGUACCGUAUGAAUAAGGAUCGGCUAACUCCGUGCCAGCAGCCGCGGUAAUACGGAGGAUCCGAGCGUUAUCCGGAUUUAUUGGGUUUAAAGGGAGCGUAGGCGGGUUGUUAAGUCAGUUGUGAAAGUUUGCGGCUCAACCGUAAAAUUGCAGUUGAUACUGGCGACCUUGAGUGCAACAGAGGUAGGCGGAAUUCGUGGUGUAGCGGUGAAAUGCUUAGAUAUCACGAAGAACUCCGAUUGCGAAGGCAGCUUACUGGAUUGUAACUGACGCUGAUGCUCGAAAGUGUGGGUAUCAAACAGGAUUAGAUACCCUGGUAGUCCACACAGUAAACGAUGAAUACUCGCUGUUGGCGAUAUACAGUCAGCGGCCAAGCGAAAGCAUUAAGUAUUCCACCUGGGGAGUACGCCGGCAACGGUGAAACUCAAAGGAAUUGACGAGGGCCCGCACAAGCGGAGGAACAUGUGGUUUAAUUCGAUGAUACGCGAGGAACCUUACCCGGGCUUAAAUUGCAACUGACUGAACCGGAAACGGUUCUUUCUUCGGACAGUUGUGAAGGUGCUGCAUGGUUGUCGUCAGCUCGUGCCGUGAGGUGUCGGCUUAAGUGCCAUAACGAGCGCAACCCUUAUCGAUAGUUACUAGCAGGUCAUGCUGAGGACUCUAUUGAGACUGCCGUCGUAAGAUGUGAGGAAGGUGGGGAUGACGUCAAAUCAGCACGGCCCUUACGUCCGGGGCUACACACGUGUUACAAUGGGGGGUACAGAAGGCAGCUACACGGCGACGUGGUGCUAAUCCCGAAAGCCUCUCUCAGUUCGGAUUGGAGUCUGCAACCCGACUCCAUGAAGCUGGAUUCGCUAGUAAUCGCGCAUCAGCCACGGCGCGGUGAAUACGUUCCCGGGCCUUGCACACACCGCCCGUCAAG